CCUGCCUGACGAGAGCCCGGCGCUCCUGGUGACGCUCUAGCUGGUGACCUAGAGAUUUCCCUCAGGCUGUAACUUUUGCAAAUAGUGAAACUGCGAAAAACACCUUCGCCGCGCUUUUCCCCAAAGCUGAGCUUGGCAGGACAUCCACAGCAAACCCUAAUACCCACCCGGGGGAAAAAUUCAAUCCAGCUCUGCCCAUUGCUACUCUAGUCCGUUUCUCCCAGGCAGGCAAGCCUGGACGCCGUGGAGGUCUUUCUGGGCGGGCGGCAGACACAGGUUUUUCUAGUUGGCUGCUACAACUGGCACGAAGACCCACAUCAUGAUCCCGCCCCACUUGUCUCUGACUAUCCGUCAGGGUUCAGUUGCAGUGAACAGAAUCCACUCUACCUAGUUUAAGCAGAAAUGGAUUUAUUAUUACAAGGUAUUCCGAGUCUUACAGGAUGACUGGAGAGCUUCAGAAAUAGAGUCUAGGCUGAGCAUCCGGGAAUGACUUCAAAAAGCUACACCACAGUCCUAGGUUGACAAGGAAGCUGCUGCCUCUGCCAGGAUCAGAAACUCUGGGAUCAGAAAGCCACCUGCCCACUGGGAAGCCAUUGUGACAUCUGCCCGGUUUCAGAAUCAUGCUGCUUCUACCAUGAUCUGUACCUUGCCUCUUGACAACAUAGAUAUAGGGCUGGGGCAUUAGAGUCUCUGUUACAGCUGUCAUAGAAAAAAAUAAAUGCCACCACAACCAUAUUAACUAGUAGGACCCCGAGAAGCACAGUUUCUGCCUCACAGUUAUUUAUUUCUGCCUUUAAAAAUUUGGUGUAGUGCAUCUGAUUGGUACAAUCUAAAUCAUAUAUCUGGAACCCUACCUGCAAGAGAGUCCGGGAAAUUGAGUUUUUAGCUUUCUGAUCUAGAAAGAGAUUGGAAUAACUACUGAAUGAGCAAUCCAAAUAUCCAUUGUAUUUGCUGAUUAUAUAGUUGCUUCACUUUAAUUCCUGGUCUCCAUUCCUAGACUCUCACUUCUCCAUAGGGAAUUGUCCAAGGUCUGAUAUGCUCUUCUUCUCAUAACAAGCACCAAGAAUGAAUGGUUCAGCCACUCUGGACCCAGUUAUGUCUUUCAACCAACAUUUAUUGUGUUCCUGUCAUGUUUACUCCUUAGACCAUCUCCCUCUCUCAUGAUUUCAAAAUCUGUUUCCAGCUUUAACAUUGAUUUUUCCCUUGAAUCCAGCUUCAAAUUGCUAACUGCCCAUUUGACAUCUUCUCAGGAAUGUCUCACCAGAUCUUCAAAGUCAAUACA
rnacentral:lncRNA from 1 species